AGAGACCGGCGCACGGGUGCGUAACGCGUAUGCAAUCUACCUUUUACAGGGGAAUAGCCCAGAGAAAUUUGGAUUAAUGCCCCAUGGUAUAAUUGAAUGGCAUCAUUUAAUUAUUAAAGUCACAACGGUAAAAGAUGAGCAUGCGUCCCAUUAGUUAGUUGGUAAGGUAACGGCUUACCAAGACAAUGAUGGGUAGGGGUCCUGAGAGGGAGAUCCCCCACACUGGUACUGAGACACGGACCAGACUCCUACGGGAGGCAGCAGUGAGGAAUAUUGGACAAUGGGCGCAAGCCUGAUCCAGCCGUGCCGCGUGCAGGAAGACGGUCCUAUGGAUUGUAAACUGCUUUUAUACAGGAAGAAACACUCCGACGUGUCGGAGCUUGACGGUACUGUAGGAAUAAGGAUCGGCUAACUCCGUGCCAGCAGCCGCGGUAAUACGGAGGAUCCAAGCGUUAUCCGGAAUCAUUGGGUUUAAAGGGUCCGUAGGCGGUUUAAUAAGUCAGUGGUGAAAUCUGGUCGCUCAACGAUCAA
rnacentral:rRNA from 1 species